UUUGAGCCUCCUGGCAGUUUGGGGGAAUGAAACUGUACAGUAGAGGCAGAUGGAGUUAGUGGGAGCUUCAGCUGAUUAGCUACACAUGAGUCCAUGUGACCAGAUGGGAGGAAUUCAAGGAUGUCAGAGGACCUGGCCGAUGUCACUGCAAAGCCAUUCUCUGUCACUGGUCACAGUGGAAGUUCCUAAUGACAGAAAAAAAGGCAAAUGUCACAGCUAUAUCUUCAGGAAGGGCAAGAAGGAAGACUGGGAAACUAGAGGCUGAUCAACAACACCAUUGGUCCAUGAGAAGGUGAUAGAACAAAUCCUCUUACAAGCCAUUUCCAAGCACAGGAAGGAUGAGAAGUUGAUUGGCAACAUGAAUUUACUGAGGACAAAAUCUACCCUUACACCUUGAAUGCAUUCUAUGAUGUUAUGACUGUCUGUGUGGAUGAAGAGUGAGAAGUGGACAUUGUGUUCCUAGACUUAACCAGUAGACCGUGCCUAUCACAUGCUGGACUGUGGGACUCAUAAAGCUCAAGUUACUCAGAACAAAUUUUACGUACAAUACGUAUUUUAAGCAAAGGGCUCGUGGAAAUCGUCACCAGGAGGAAAAAAUGUAUUCAGGUGGACUACACAAAUUGCCCAGAUGUGUGUGCAGCCAUACCCAUGCAUUUUGGAGACAUAACCAUGUUGAGACCUAUGUUUUCCUCCUUCUGUGAUUCUGAAGAUCUUCUACAGCAUCACUUCAAGAUUUUACACCUGAAACGGGUUCACUUUCAUUUGUCUGAUGCACAUUUCCAGCCAGCAGCCGGGAGACCGAAGAGGAUUCAAUCCGCAAUUGUUCUGAAAGCACACAAACUGAAUAAAUGUUUAUAACCCUAAAUGGUGUCACCGCAGCAGAUGAAUGGCAGCAGAACAAUGGGCACCGAUGCACUCUUCAGGCCGCAGCCAAGUUCCCUAGCAACUACAGAGGAGCUGUGCAGCCUGCAGAGGGGAUUGUGAAUUGUUCUUUACACACAUCUGGAAGUAGAUCGCCAACAUGUAGCUUUACUUCUACCCUGACAAACACUGCUUUCAGUCCGAUUUGACUGUCCGAUUUGACUUUUCCAUUGACCCCCUGCCUCCCUUCUCCAGUGUUUCAGCACAGCUGGAAGAAUUCAACUCUUCAACUUCAGAAGGUUUGCUUGGAAGCAGGGAAGCAGUGGGCAAUGCCACAUCACACCAGUCACUUGCCACAGAAACCUCCUAACUGCUGUCUUCUGUAUCUGCACAAGCUGUCAUGCUUAUUGUUGCACCAGGAGAGAUCUUGCACAGCAGCAGUGGAGCUGGGGGAAGGCUGUAUCUCCCCAGGCUAAUCUGGUUAACCAUGAAAGCUGUCAGGACUUGUUCACCCGCAGCAAAAGACUCAUCCUGGUCACUAUAAAAGAACAAAACUGCCAUGCAGCAAGAGCUCCCCACUCAAGCUUGUGGCUCACCCUAAAAUGCAGCUGAAAGCACUCUCUUGUGCAGAGCCCAACCCCUAAAUCUCCAUCACAUGGGAAAGUUCCCCACAGCUGUGACUGUUACAGGCUUCCCUGUUGCUUCACGUGUCCUUUCCAACACUUGCUGAACCAUCAUAAGCUGUUGUUUCAGAUCACACGCACACAUGGCUUUACAAAAGGCAAAGCAUCUCUUUAAACAAUAAGCUUUUCAUAGAACCAUAGAAUGGCUUGUGUUAGAAGAGACUUCAAAGGUCAUCUGAUUCCAACCCACCAGCUCAGGCUGCCCAGGGCCCCAUCCAACCUGGCCUUGAGCACCUCCAGGGAUGGGGCACCACAGCUUCUCUGGGCAGCUGUGCCAGCGCCUCCCCGCCCUCUGAGUAAAAAGUUUCCCCCUAAUAUCCCACCUAAAUCUCCCCUCUUUUAGUUUAAAGCCAUUCCUGCUUGUCCUAUCACUAUAAGACCAUGUAAAAAAUUGGUCUCCCUUCUGCUAAUAAACUUCUUCUAAGCACGGCAAGGCCACUAUCAGGUCUCUCUGGAGCUUUCUCUUCUCCAGGCAGCUCAAGCCCAGUUCCCUCAGCCUGUCUUCACAGGAGAGGUGCUCCAACCCUCUGAUCAUCUUCCUGCUGUCAUCUGGACCCACUCCAACAUCUCCACAUCCCUUCUACGCUGGGGACCCCAGGCCUGGACGCAGUACUCCAAGUGGAGCCUCACGAGGGCAGAGCAAAGAGGGACAUUCACUUCCCUCCCCCCCGCUGGCCACCCCUUCUUUUGCCGCAGCCCAGUGUACAAUGAGGUAACCCUUCCCUGCGAGCUCCCUCGGCUACGCCCGACACCUGGGCCAAGGGAGGCGCCCUUCCCGAGGGGCCACCUGCGCCCAUCCGGGGCCGGCGCGAUGCGGCCGGAAGGGGGCGCCGCCGUCCCGCCUGUAGAACCGGAGCAGAACAUGGCGAGUAGCCCAGCGCUUCGCCAGGGCCCCGGGCAGGGGGAGGGCGACCGUGGCUCUCUUUCGCGGCUGCCCUCCGCAGCAGAAGCCAACAGAACCGUGUGGGUGUGGCACUGAGGGACGUGGUCAGUGGGCAUGGCAGGGAUGGGAUGACACUUGGGCUAGGUGACCUUAGAUGUCUUUUCCAACCUUAAUGAAUCUGUGAUUCUAUAUUUGAGAAGUUAAAAACAGUUGAAACAAGGAUUGUGGGAUUGUGGACGUUACCUGCUUUCCCCGUUCCUUUGUCGUUAAAUGUCUGGCAUUCACAUAUUAGUAUGUGGCUGGCUAACGAGGAAGUGAAAUAUUAAUUUCUCCUCAGUCAGGAAGCUCCUGGAUGGAAGUUCACCUCAGUCAAGUCUCACUUUGAGAGCUUAAUUCUGAUCUGUCCAGCUUUGUGAUUACUUGCUUUCAUACUAUGCAUUGGAGUCACACACUGCUUUGCUAUGGGACUGAAAGAGUUCAAAUUUUAAGGUAGUUUUCAAAUCAAAUUCAUGGUUUGGGUUGAAAGGGAGCUCACAGCCCACCCACCCCAACCUGUGCCAUGGGCAGGGCUGCCCCCCACCAGCUCAGGCUGCCCAGGGCCCCAUCCAACCUGGCCUUGAGUGCCUCCAGGGAUGGGGCACCACAGCUUCUCUGGGCAGCUGUGCCAGCGCCUCACUGCCCUCUCAGCAAAAAGUUUCCACCAACAUCUAAUCUAAAUGUGGCACUUCAGUGGAUUGUGUUAAAUAAAUACUUAAAUAAAUAAAAUUCCAAACUUGUUAAUGGCCACUCUUCUAUGUCUAGACCAGUCUGUGGCCUUACUCUCUCCACCUAGUCCUGUUCGUCCACUUUCUCACCUGGGAUAUUGCUUCCUGAAUUCUCAGCUGUAAUCUGCAGGCCCUCUCUGGACAGCAUGUCUCUGCAGUGGUUGUUUAUAUGGUGUCCUCUGUAGUGGUGUUCUUUCCUAAAGGUUCAUGGUGUAGUAAUAAAUUCUUUGAAAGACGCCGUCAGAGGAGGUCAUGGGAGCAAAGACACACACAAGGAAUUGAUGGCACUUCAGCAUUUUGCUAGUAAAGACACGAGCUGUCCUGUAGGAACAGGAAAGCUAUUGUUGGACUGAAUCCGCCUGUCUUCCUCCGGUGCCAGCGCUCCACAAAGCGUGCAUUUUGUGACUGUAAUGCUAUUCAGCCUCGCAAAAGGUACAGCCUGGGACCAAUCGGAGAACAUGAUUAAAUGCUCAGCUUCCAUCCCUCAUAUAAAGGUCGUGUAUUUGUAUUCCAGCUAAGUCAGCCGUCAGCGUUUGUAAAGUGUCUGAUGUUCUCUUAUUGCUGUGCAAACAAUGGCAAAACCAAAACAGAAUUAAAUUUCAAUUAAUCUGAGACAUUCAUAACAGGCAUUAGAACAAUAAGCAUGUUUUGUUAUUAACCUUCCUCCUUCAUAUGAGAUUUUGACCUCUUUAUACUAAUCUGAUUUUAUUUGUCAAAUUAACUGUAGAAUUCAAUAUUAGUAGUCCCAGACAAUGACUCAAGCUUCAUCACCUCCUAUUCCCUCUUUGUGGGAAAAAGAAGGUAAUUAUUACUUUUAAAAAUAAUAACAACCUUGGAAUGAAGUUUCAUUUUUUAUUUCUUAAUGACGAGACCCUUUUUUUCUCUUGCUGUUUUUUAACCUCUAGAAUGGAUUUUCCUUUUCGAACUCUGUUUUUUUUUUUUUUUCUGAGCAUUUUUGAGGUCUGGAAACAUUUCUUUUUUCGUAAUGGAACCUGAGAUUCCUGACUAAUGACUUGCCUUUGGGAGCUGAGAUUUUAAUUAAAAAAGAAAAAAGAAAAAACCACCCAAAGUGGGGCAGUUGUGAUAAAAUCAUAAGAAUUGGCAAUAUAUUUAUGUGUCUACGCCAGGUAGGGAAGCAUUGUGAAGGAGAAGAAAACUGCCUGACUGUAAGCAGACCUUCUUGAUGAUGAAACCCUGCAGGGCUAUGGCCAGCUAUGGCACCUGUAAGACAUAGAGGGGUGGUUACAGAGCAAGUGCAGGAGAGUGAUAUCUUCAGCCACGAGGACUGCUUUGUAUCAUGUUCUUCACUGAGAUAAACAUCUCCUCCUAGCAGCUCCUUAUCUGCUGAUAAUCUUGCCAUAUCCCAGUCCACAUCUGAAGUGCAUGCACGUUUUGGGGCAAGGGUAGUGCUGGCUGGGACUCUGCCCAGUUCCAAGUAGGUACAAGAGGCUCGGGGCCAACUGUUUAUUGGGCUGUGCUAUUUAUACAGUAAUUCUCGACUUGCUCAGAACAAGGGGCAGAUCAAGGCUUAAUCCCCUUUCCCGGACAACCCUAUUACCUAACACCAAGAGUGGUAGAAAAGUCCUAAUCUUCAGAGGGAGAGGGACAGUAAAAGUUCCUCUAUCAGAGAUUGUUAAGAUAGCCCAGAACAAAGCCUUAGAGAGCUAUUGGCUACAGUGCGUCUGAAAAGGAGAUAACCCAGCAGAUGUCUGGGUUUGCAUUGCGGUGUAAUUACAGGUGAGCUUUAAAGUCACUGGGAAUCAGCUGACUGUUCUGGGAAGAACAGCAGCGGUAUGUUGCUGCUGUGCCUGUUUCAGCAAAAAAGCACACAUCUCAUGAACAGGCACG
ensembl:lncRNA